ACCUGGCUGGCUCAGUCAGUACAACAUGAGACUCUUGAUCUCAGGGUUGUGAGUUCAAGUCCCAUGUUGGGCA
rnacentral:tRNA from 1 species